UGGGGAAUAUUGGACAAUGGGGGCAACCCUGAUCCAGCCAUGCCGCGUGAGUGAAGAAGGCCUUCGGGUUGUAAAGCUCUUUCGGCCGGGAAGAAAUCGUGGUCUCUAACAUAGGCCAUGGAUGACGGUACCGAACUAAGAAGCACCGGCUAACUACGUGCCAGCAGCCGCGGUAAUACGUAGGGUGCGAGCGUUAACCGGAAUUACUGGGCGUAAAGCGUGCGCAGGCGGUUUUGUAAGACAGAUGUGAAAUCCCCGGGCUUAACCUGGGAACUGCGUUUGUGACUGCAAGGCUAGAGUACGGCAGAGGGGGGUGGAAUUCCUGGUGUAGCAGUGAAAUGCGUAGAGAUCAGGAGGAACACCGAUGGCGAAGGCAGCCCCCUGGGCCUGUACUGACGCUCAUGCACGAAAGCGUGGGGAGCAAACA
rnacentral:rRNA from 1 species